rnacentral:rRNA from 1 species
AUUGAACGCUGGCGGCAUGCUUUACACAUGCAAGUCGAACGGUAACAGGUUAAGCUGACGAGUGGCGAACGGGUGAGUAAUGCAUCGGAACGUGCCCGGUCGUGGGGGAUAACGCAGCGAAAGCUGCGCUAAUACCGCAUACGAUCUGAGGAUGAAAGCGGGGGACCGUAAGGCCUCGCGCGAUCGGAGCGGCCGAUGUCAGAUUAGGUAGUUGGUGGGGUAAAGGCUCACCAAGCCAACGAUCUGUAGCUGGUCUGAGAGGACGACCAGCCACACGGGGACUGGGACACGGCCCAGACUCCUACGGGAGGCAGCAGUGGGGAAUUUUGGACAAUGGGCGAAAGCCUGAUUCAGCAAGGCCGCGUGCAGGAAGAAGGCCUUCGGGUUGUAAACUGCUUUUGUACGGAGCGAAAAGGUCUCCUCUAAUACAGGGGGCUCAUGACGGUACCGUAAGAAUAAGCACCGGCUAACUACGUGCCAGCAGCCGCCGUAA